ensembl:snoRNA SNORA63 Small nucleolar RNA SNORA63
UUGCAGGAUAAGUUACAAUACAGCUGUGAAGUGCUCUAUUGUCGUUCCCCCUGCAGAAAGAAACCCGUUUCAUACUAUCCCUGACUGUCCUGUCUUGUUGACUGGCAGGGACGCUUGGUCACGAACAC